rnacentral:rRNA from 1 species
AUGGUCAGCAAGUAUGAUGGUUUUAAUGAUGAUCCUGCAUGUAUUUCGUGUGUAUCUCACAGGGGAUUUAAAAAAACUCGUGAAUUAACUUGGGUCACAGGUGUGGUUUUGGCUGUUUUGACUGCAUCAUUUGGUGUAACUGGUUAUUCUUUGACUUGGGAUCAAAUUGGCUAUUGGGCAGUCAAAAUUGUGACAGGUGUACUUGACGCCAUUCCGGUAAUAGGAUCGCCUUUAGUGGAGUUAUUACGCGGAAGUGUGCCUCCGCUCUGGGAAGACGCUGCGCACCCGGGAGCUGCUGGCAAGGGGCUGCCGGAAUAA